rnacentral:lncRNA from 1 species
GUGGAAAAGUCCUAGACUUGGAGUUUUCUCAGAAUCUUCUGAGAGACUGAGUCUCGGGGCCGUAUUUCCUCUAUCAGGAAACUUGGCCAGUUGUAUUAGCUUUUCAUGGAGGCUUUCAGAUCCCAAAUUCUAUGGUACUUCAGGAGACACUCCGUGGACCAGAAAGCACCCUCCACCCCUUAAAAGACCUGGUUCCACUCGCCCUGUGUCUCUGACACUGAUAUGAUGUAGUCUGGAAGGAGUGGUUUUAUUUAUCUGAGGAUCUGUUUCCUUGUUAUUAAAUGGCAAUGUGUCUAACGCCUCUGCCUACUUCAGAAACACCCUGAAGGUCUAAUGAGAUAUCAAGCUAAAAAGCUCUUUUUUUGCUUUUUACACAAAGAGGCUUAAUAGACAAAAUAGAGUAACAUGGCAGACGGCUCACAGACAUAUCACAUCCUGCUUAAAAUCCAAGGUUUCCAGAGUGAGGAAAAGAGGACCAAUCAGAGACUCUUGUACAGUCAUUUCCUAGGUAACACUCGAACUGACAAACAAAUCCUACUGUAAGCAGGAGAUGGAAAGGAUAAGCUGCCCGUGCUUCCAGAGGUUUACGUGGUUAGCACCCUCCAGCCUGUGCCACCUGCUGGCACUUCAUGGGUGUUUCUGGCAACUGCAUGAGAUCGGCCGUGGUUCAGCAAAGGCUCCUCUUGCUAUCUGCCUCUGGUUAUGCUCAAGAAGGAACCUACGGCAUUACCCAUCCUGAGCUGAGAAGAGCGUCCCUGAAGGCAUUUCAUGGACUGUUUGAUACGGCUUAAUCUUCUAGAACCAGAGGCGCCAAAAGGCCCACCAACUUGCUUGGAAGCCUCUCCUCUACUCCAACAGCCAUCAUUUUUGCUCAGGAGCAUGGAAUCCCAUCUGAGGCUCCUACAGGAACACCACCAACCUCUACACGGCCUGCAGAGCCAGCCUGGCCUCAAGAGCAGGACACACCAGAAAACACCUGUUGAAUGGAUGCACCAGUGAACAGAGAUGGCCACCUCGCCAGAGCCACAAUCCAUGGGGACUGGAGACCAAAUGACGCUAAUGACUGCAGGGAAAUGAACAACUGAGAGGGGCUCCCUUUUAUCACUGGAGGGAAGCUGCUUGGUUCUAGUGAAUGGGAAGGAAUUGUAGGCAAAAACUCAGGGAGGAGACAGACAAGGAGAGCUUGGAAGGGGAACCUUACUAAUUAAGACAGAGAAAACAAAAUUUUGCUAAGCAUCAUUUCUGACUUACAACACAAAGUCAUUUUUCCUUUCUUCCUUGUCCCUCCUCCUUUGCUCUCCCUAUUCCUUCCCUCCUUCUACCCAGAGACUUCCACGUAAACAGGACACAAAAGCAUGACAGAGACCACAGGUGCACACAGAACCUGUGGCCCCCUCUGCAGCUCCGCCUGGAAGUGCCUCCUCUUCCCACGCCUCCUCCCACUCAUCGCCUGCCUUGCCCACAACCACCCUUCCUUCAGAUGUCGCAUGGAGUGUCUGCUUACUGGGGAAGGUCCCCACAUACCUCCCCCUACUCCAGGCUUGACAAAAAAAGCUCCUCUGUGUUCUCAUGUGAUCGUGUCUAUUAUAGCUGUUAUCACUACAUAUUUAAUGUAGCAGCUAAUGAGUCUCUCCCCCAACUGUGCUCCUUGGUAGCAAAAGCCAAGUCCUCUAAGAAGUAAAAGGCUUUGCAGUGCAAUGCAAAAACUCUA